rnacentral:tRNA from 1 species
GGGGCCGUGGCUCAGCGGGAGAGCAUUUGCUCGGCACGCCGAAGGUCUUGGCUUCAAUCCCAGGUAUUUCCA